GAGCGAACAGGAUUAGAUACCCUGGUAGUCCACGCUGUAAACGAUGAUCACUCGUUGUUGGCAAUACACCGUCAGCGACUGAGCGAAAGCAUUAAGUGAUCCACCUGGGGAGUACGACCGCAAGGUUGAAACUCAAAGGAAUUGACGGGGGCCCGCACAAGCGGAGGAACAUGUGGUUUAAUUCGAUGAUACGCGAGGAACCUUACCUGGGCUUAAAUGUAGAACGACGGACCGGGAAACUGGUCUUUCUUCGGACGGUCUGCAAGGUGCUGCAUGGCUGUCGUCAGCUCGUGCCGUGAGGUGUCGGGUUAAGUCCCAUAACGAGCGCAACCCUCAUCAUUAGUUGCCAGCGGGUAAUGCCGGGGACUCUAAUGAAACCGCCGGUGUAAACCGAGAGGAAGGUGGGGAUGACGUCAAGUCAGCACGGCCCUUAUGUCCAGGGCUACACACGUGUUACAAUGGUCGGUACAAAGGGCAGCUACCUGGCGACAGGAUGCUAAUCUCGAAAACCGAUCUCAGUUCGGAUCGAAGUCUGCAACUCGACUUCGUGAAGCUGGAUUCGCUAGUAAUCGCGCCUCAGCCAUGGCGCGGUGAAUACGUUCCCGGGCAUUGUACACACCGCCCGUCAUGCCAUGGAAGCUGGGGUACCAUGAAGUCCGUAACCGCAAGGAG
rnacentral:rRNA from 1 species